GACAGAGGGUGCAAACGUUGCUCGGAAUCACUGGGCGUAAAGGGCGUGUAGGCGGGAAGGAAAGUCAGGUGUGAAAGCCCCGAGCUUAACUUGGGAAUUGCGCUUGUGACUGGCGUGCUGGAGUGUGGCAGAGGGAGGUGGAAUUCCACGUGUAGCAGUGAAAUGCGUAGAGAUGUGGAGGAACACCGAUGGCGAAGGCAGCCUCCUGGGCCAGCACUGACGCUCAUGCACGAAAGCGUGGGGAGCAAACAGG
rnacentral:rRNA from 1 species